rnacentral:tRNA from 1 species
GCUAUUUUGGCAGAAAAAUGUAAUGAUUUUAGAAGUCAUUAAUAUAUAAUUUAUUAUAUAUAUAGUA